rnacentral:rRNA from 1 species
AGAGUUUGAUCCUGGCUCAGGACGAACGCUGGCGGCGUGCCUAAUACAUGCAAGUAGAACGCUGAAGAGAGGAGCUUGCUCUUCUUGGAUGAGUUGCGAACGGGUGAGUAACGCGUAGGUAACCUGCCUUGUAGCGGGGGAUAACUAUUGGAAACGAUAGCUAAUACCGCAUAACAAUGGAUGACACAUGUCAUUUAUUUGAAAGGGGCAAUUGUUCCACUACAAGAUGGACCUGCGUUGUAUUAGCUAGUAGGUGAGGUAAUGGCUCACCUAGGCGACGAUACAUAGCCGACCUGAGAGGGUGAUCGGCCACACUGGGACUGAGACACGGCCCAGACUCCUACGGGAGGCAGCAGUAGGGAAUCUUCGGCAAUGGGGGCAACCCUGACCGAGCAACGCCGCGUGAGUGAAGAAGGUUUUCGGAUCGUAAAGCUCUGUUGUAAGUCAAGAACGGGUGUGAGAGUGGAAAGUUCACACUGUGACGGUAGCUUACCAGAAAGGGACGGCUAACUACGUGCCAGCAGCCGCGGUAAUACGUAGGUCCCGAGCGUUGUCCGGAUUUAUUGGGCGUAAAGCGAGCGCAGGCGGUUUGAUAAGUCUGAAGUUAAAGGCUGUGGCUCAACCAUAGUUCGCUUUGGAAACUGUCAAACUUGAGUGCAGAAGGGGAGAGUGGAAUUCCAUGUGUAGCGGUGAAAUGCGUAGAUAUAUGGAGGAACACCGGUGGCGAAAGCGGCUCUCUGGUCUGUAACUGACGCUGAGGCUCGAAAGCGUGGGGGGCGAACAGGAUUAGAUACCCUGGUAGUCCACGCCGUAAACGAUGAGUGCUAGGUGUUGGAUCCUUUCCGGGAUUCAGUGCCGCAGCUAACGCAUUAAGCACUCCGCCUGGGGAGUACGACCGCAAGGUUGAAACUCAAAGGAAUUGACGGGGGCCCGCACAAGCGGUGGAGCAUGUGGUUUAAUUCGAAGCAACGCGAAGAACCUUACCAGGUCUUGACAUCCCGAUGCUAUUUCUAGAGAUAGAAAGUUACUUCGGUACAUCGGUGACAGGUGGUGCAUGGUUGUCGUCAGCUCGUGUCGUGAGAUGUUGGGUUAAGUCCCGCAACGAGCGCAACCCCUAUUGUUAGUUGCCAUCAUUCAGUUGGGCACUCUAGCGAGACUGCCGGUAAUAAACCGGAGGAAGGUGGGGAUGACGUCAAAUCAUCAUGCCCCUUAUGACCUGGGCUACACACGUGCUACAAUGGUUGGUACAACGAGUUGCGAGUCGGUGACGGCGAGCUAAUCUCUUAAAGCCAAUCUCAGUUCGGAUUGUAGGCUGCAACUCGCCUACAUGAAGUCGGAAUCGCUAGUAAUCGCGGAUCAGCACGCCGCGGUGAAUACGUUCCCGGGCCUUGUACACACCGCCCGUCACACCACGAGAGUUUGCAACACCCGAAGUCGGUGGGGUAACCUUUUGGAGCCAGCCGCCUAAGGUGGGACAGAUGAUUGGGGUGAAGUCGUAACAAGGUA